rnacentral:piRNA from 1 species
UAUUAUAGCAUUUCUAUUGUCGCCACACCU